CGACCGUCUUAAACAUUUACCCGUAACUUCUCAUUACGCAUACAGUCCUCUCAAAACCCUAAAUAUUAUUGUAUUGUCGUAAGCAUAUUUUCAUACGCAGACUUUUCUUUCGCUUAAUCUUUUAACCUUGAAAUUUUCUAUCCAACAGAUUGAACUCUGUAUGCAAGAUGGCUGGUCAGAGAAACUACGGGAAGCGAUUGAAUUCUCAAUCUGACUUUGGUGAUAAUAGAGGAAACAAAAGAAGAAAUUCUGGAACUGAUAAAGACCUUUUCUCUAUUGGAUCGGAUGACACAGUGUACCGCUACUUGUGCCCUGGAAAGAAGAUUGGAAGUAUUAUAGGAAGGGGAGGGGAAAUUGUUAAGCAAUUAAGAGUGGAUACUAAAUCGAAGAUUAGAAUUGGCGAGUCAGUGCCUAGAUGUGAAGAACGUGUUGUCACUAUAUAUAGUACUAGUGAGGAAACAAAUGAUCUUGAUGAUAGUGAUGAUCGUGUUUGUCCUGCUCAAGAUGCACUUUUCAAAGUUCAUGAUAGAAUUGUUGCUGAGGACGUAUCAGUUGACGAGGACUCUGAAGAAGCUCCACAAGUUACUGCUCGGCUUCUAGUACCAUCUGAUCAGAUUGGAUGCAUCAUUGGGAAAGGUGGGCAGAUAGUUCAGAAUAUUCGUAGCGAAACUGGAGCUCAGGUUCGCAUUCUUAAGGAUGACCAUUUGCCUGCAUGUGCAUUGGGCUCUGAUGAACUUGUGCAGAUAUCUGGUGAAGCCUCUGUAGUUAAGAAAGCUCUUUAUCAGAUUGCAUCUAGGCUUCACGACAAUCCUUCUCGAUCUCAGCAUUUGCUGGCAUCUUCUGUUCCGAGUGUCUAUCCUUCUGGUGGUUCACUUAUAGGGGCCCCUGCUGGUGCCUCCAUCAUGGGAUUGACUCCAUUGCUCGGGCCUUAUGGGGAAUAUAAAGGAGAGAGUGCUGACUGGUCACGUUCUCUCUACUCGGCUCCAAGGAAUGAAGCAUCUUCAAAGGAAUUCUCACUUCGUUUGGUUUGUCCGACUUCUAACAUCGGAGGUGUUAUCGGCAAGGGUGGUGUGAUCAUAAAUCAAAUCAGACAAGAAUCUAGAGCAGCUAUCAAAGUUGAUAGUUCUGCUGCAGAGGGAGAUGAUUGUGUAAUUUCUAUUUCGGCAAAAGAGUUUUUUGAAGAUACGUUCUCUCCAACAAUCGAAGCAGCACUGCGCUUGCAGCCCAGAUGCAGUGACAAAAUUGAAAGAGAUUCUGGUCUUAUUUCGUUCACUACACGGUUGCUUGUUCCAACCUCUCGGAUCGGUUGCCUUAUUGGCAAAGGAGGUUCCAUUAUUUCGGAAAUGAGGAAAAUCACUAAAGCUAAUAUUCGCAUACUGUCGAAGGAAAACCUUCCUAAGGUGGCCGCUGAAGAUGAUGAGAUGGUGCAGAUUUCUGGAGAGCUUGACAUUGCCAAGGAUGCCCUUGUACAAGUAACUUCACGCUUGAGGGCAAAUCUUUUUGAGAAGGAGGGUGCUAUGUCCGCCUUUGUACCUGUACUUCCAUACCUUCCAGUGUCAGCAGAUGGUCCUGAGAGUUUAAACUAUGAAAGCAGAGAUUCUAAGAACCGUGGCCGUGGAUAUUCCUAUUCUGAUGGAUAUGGUGGCUCUCCUGAAUUGCCACGUGUUGAUGCUUAUGGAACUUAUAGUGGUCUUCAGAGCGGCAGUGGCAGCUCUGCUUAUGGAGUCUAUGGAGGUCAUUCUUCAGGUCGUCCUGGUGGUUCUGGGUUAUCUGGACGUAACCCUGUUUCUAGGGGGAGAAAUUAUGAAUACUAAAGUUUGAUAAUAAGAUUGCAGUAUCCUUUUCAAGUUUUUUAUAUGAGAAACAGGAGACUAUAGUCCAGAAUGAAGAACUAGCAGCUAUUGCAGUUAGAAAGCAGAUGCAGUCCAGAGGAUACGAUUGAUCCUGGUUGUUGCAAGUCACUUAAAAAUCUGGGACAGGCUUGAUGGGACACAUGUUUUCUGCAAACCACAGGUAAUAUUCUAUUUCCUAAUGUACCAAAUAAUCUUGGUAGUUAUUAGUUAAAACCAAUUUUCAGGGCGCUAUCUACACAUAUAAUGAAUGGCGAGUGAAUCCAAAAUACUUGAUAUCAUAUGCUCACGGAUUUCCCUAUAUAUCUAAGCACGAAAAAUUAUUAACUGUUUCUGGUUUCUCAGUCAUUUUGGCUUCUACUUUAAAACUGCUGCAAGUUCAUUCGUGGACUUGUGCAUUGUCUCUCCAAACAGCUGAACUUUGUUGAAAGCUUGAAGGUAACGUUUGAGCAGUGUCAGAUUUUUUUGUUUUAGUUGAAUUACAUUUAUUUCGAAAUUAAUAUAUGCAGCCAAUGAUAGAUAGCAUUAGAUCGGUGUCUUAUAUUACCAUAUCAUCUUUCGUUUAAUGCGCAAUUCUUUUCUAUUUGUACUGGAUUGUUCUAAUUACUAGAAACAAGAUUUGUCCAAAUGAAAUUCGUAUUCUAUGUUGAAUUUUUGUAA